UUAUCGGCUCCAGCCGAGCCGGAUGGUGGAAAUCAUGUUUUCGUCCUUAUUUUGUGAUAAGGACGACACCCACGUCAUUUCCUCGACUCUUCCAGACUAUCAUCACCAGCUGCAGUCCCUCUUUCGCUCUCCCAAAGCUGAACGAUACAGUCAAUUCAAUCAUCCCAAAAUUUUUUUCAGAUCCAUCAAUUGUAUCUUACCAGAACAAAAAAGAAAAAAUUAACUCUAUCCAAAUCUCUGUCCUCAAGGAAAAAAAGGGUGCAAACUGGUCGUCCUGCUGUCGGUUUUGCUCUUAGAUGGAGACGCACCGUCAAACACAGUUUCAGGGGCAACAACAGCUUUGCUUCGGAAUCUUGAUCAUCGCAUGUCAAGCUAUUCAUACAUCUCCUGGUGUUUGAGAAUAAACUGAUGUUGAUAUGUUAUACGAAAGUCCAAGAUAUAGGAUGCAAAGGAAUGCUUGGAACUGUUUUCUAUGGACAGGGCGACUAAAUUUAAUUAAAUGACCCUUGCCAAUGUGAACAACUUCAAGAGGCUCUUAAAAGAGGAGGAAGAGGAUAAUAACUAUGAAGUAGACCUUCAAGUUACCUCAAAAAGAUGCGAGUUUGAUGAAGAUGAUUCAAGCUCAUCUGUGAAGAACAUUCUUCUUCUAGACUCUGAAGGGAAGCAUGUUACUCUCAUAAUUGGCCAACAAUUGCUGCAAAUCUAGCUUGAACAAUCUGUGUUCACUAAGACUCUAAUGACAAAUGCAUGGAUAGAAGCAGAGGUUAUGAUGUUCGUGUGCAACGUUGUUAUAUAUAAGUUUGUUCAGGACCUUCACUUCUUUGUGACCGGAGGUGAUGAUGAAAAUGAACUCAUUUAGCCACUGUACUUCAGGGAUUCUUUGAUGAGUUCCCCUUCUCUUGAGAUUUGUCAUCUAUCAAUCUGUCAGCCAGAGUUUCAAAUUGAAUUGAAGUUUGCAGAGGCUUUAGAAUUUCAUCAUCCACUGUUGAGCUUGAACCAGACCAAGCAUUACCCAUGUGACUACGUUCAUCAUCUUGGCUGGAAGGUUGAAAGACGGCGGGUUAUCUUUUUGAAGUGGAUUUCUUUUGGCUUACUUUUGAUCACUGCUACAGCUUGAUUGAUUGUUAUAAAUUGCAGACCACGAUACAGUUAGAAAUCUGGAAUAGUGGGUUUCAUACCUUGGUUUUGGAUAAGGAAUGUCGAAGUACAAAGAGCCAAUGGAACAGAUGAGUUUUGCAGGCAAUGGAAGUCUCACUUUAUAUAUAAAGACUAAAGCCAAAGCAGCAACCAAGGCCUAUCCAUUUCCAGUGUUAUCACAGGAAUAUGGCUUUUUCCCCCGCAGCAUCGCGCGGGCUACUUUCCUAGUGUUAACAAAAUAGCAGCACACACUAAUGUUUCAUGCUUUAUAUAUGAUGAAGUCAUGGUUUGAGUAUGAUGGUCAUUUUGAACACGCAUAAUUUAAAAAUGACCAUCAUACUCAAAACAUGACAUAAAUAAUAUAAAUUAUAAGAGAUUUGUCAUUUUAAAGUAUUUAAUGUGUAUACGUAGAUCGCAUUGAGUCUCAAAUAAAAUAUUAGAGAAAAUUAAACAUGUAAUGAUAACAAAUUUUUAAUCGGUGAGCAUGGAGAUUUUAUUGUUUGCA